GACAGAGGAUGCAAGCGUUAUCCGGAAUGAUUGGGCGUAAAGCGUCUGUAGGUGGCUUUUCAAGUCCGCCGUCAAAUCCCAGGGCUCAACCCUGGACAGGCGGUGGAAACUGCCAAGCUGGAGUACGGUAGGGGCAGAGGGAAUUUCCGGUGGAGCGGUGAAAUGCGCAGAUAUCAGGAGGAACACCGGUGGCGAAGGCGGUUCUCUGGGCAUGAUCUGACGCUGAGGAGCGAAAGCAUGGGGAGCGAACAGG
rnacentral:rRNA from 1 species